rnacentral:rRNA from 1 species
UACGUAGGGUGCAAGCGUUAAUCGGAAUUACUGGGCGUAAAGCGUGCGCAGGCGGCUUUGCAAGACAGAUGUGAAAUCCCCGGGCUCAACCUGGGAACUGCAUUUGUGACUGCAAGGCUAGAGUACGGUAGAGGGGGAUGGAAUUCCGCGUGUAGCAGUGAAAUGCGUAGAUAUGCGGAGGAACACCGGUGGCGAAGGCGGCCUGCUGGGCAGUUGCUGACACUGAGGCGCGACAGCGUGGGGAGCAAACAGG